AAUCCAAAGAGGUUCUGGAUAAAGCCUUUUCUUCUUCAUUAUUCUGACUUUCUGAGCAUUUGCAAUCUCGCUGUCGAAGGGAAAGAGAAAUCAUUACCUACCCAACAUUUGGUAAUUGUGGCAUUAUACCGUUUACCCAACCUCGGACAUGAUUAUGGAGCAGGUUGCUGCAGAUCCUCUUGCAAAGCUCGUGACAGCAUUAACCAACAUCAAACCAGAAAACAAAAUGAUGCCGUCCCGCUGCUCCAAAACUUUGGCAAAGAUCAUCAAUGCCAGUCAGGACAGACUUUCCUUGGUUAUUGGGCUCGAUUCCCGCAAGACCAGAAAACACUUUUAAACUUUGAAUGCUCCUCUUUUAAUGAAUA